UCACUGCACGCUACAAUCAUCCUCACCACCAUGACAGGGAGUGACACUGCCCCCCACCUCCAGGGAGUACCCCGGCUGCAGGUACCACCUCCAGCCCCCCCAACUGUACCUCCUCGGUUCCCUCCCCCUCCUCACCCGGCAGUGUCCUCUUUCUGGGAACAAGCACCGCACUGAACAAUAGAACAACUCCCCCCCCCGCUUUGCUAGACCCCCCCCCCCCUCCAAGCUGCCCCGCUCUCUGGUCUGGGGCCGUGCCCAGCGCUGGGGGGAGGGGUUACGUGGUCUCAGUCCAGGCUGAGCGUUCACAAGAGCCCCCCCCCCCCCUUCUGCAAGCAGCUGGUUCCCCUCCCUGCAGCCUCCUCCGCGCUGUAGCUCCGGGCUCCUGCUGCCUUUUCUCUCUGCAUCUCCCGGGCUGGUUCCGUCCCGCCCCCCGGCUGCCCCUUGGCUCCAGCUCCCCGGGGAUCAGAGUUAAUCCCCCCCGGGUUUGUGCGGAGGGGCGCAGGAUUAGGGCCCGUGACUAGUCUGGUAACAGCCACGUAGAUGUAUAAAACCACAACAGGGAGAGGGGACGCGGCGGGGGCGGGGCUCUCCCCUCGGCUCCUGGGGUGAUGCGGAGUGAAGCCGGAGUGACAUGGCCAGAGCGGGGAGUUCUCCGCUCAAUGCAGUACUCAUUGUUGUUCAGGUUAUAUGGUUCUCCAAUAUUCCAGCUACUGAAGCGAUACAGGGAGCCAUCUGUCCACUUCCAGCGUCUGUUCUGCAGAGACAGGGGAGAAAGGUCAUGGGGUCCCGGGAAGAAGAGACCUUGGUGACAAGGCACCAUAGAAACACCUAAACCCAACACAGAAGUGCCCCACUCAGGCAGUGGGAGAGUCGGGGAAUGGCCGUGGGGCAGUUGGUGGGGAGAGGCCAGCUCAGGGGGACGGGACCUGGAGUCGCUGAUCUAAUAGUAACACUUAGCACAUGAAUUUCACCAUCUCCCUUCCAAGCCCUUUGCCUGAAUUAACUACUUAUCUCAUGAUGGAGCAGAGUCACUCUGGAGUGUGUUCUAGUCCCUAAACCCCAUGGGCAUGGCCCCUCGGGGGGCACUGGUGGUUUCUCAUCCUGUGUAAGCAAAAUAAAAGUGCAUCUGUGAUGGA